CAGUCGCCCGGUAAUACGGAGGGUGCAAGCGUUAAUCGGAAUUACUGGGCGUAAAGCGCACGCAGGCGGUUUGUUAAGUCAGAUGUGAAAUCCCCGAGCUUAACUUGGGAACUGCAUUUGAAACUGGCAAGCUAGAGUCUUGUAGAGGGGGGUAGAAUUCCAGGUGUAGCGGUGAAAUGCGUAGAGAUCUGGAGGAAUACCGGUGGCGAAGGCGGCCCCCUGGACAAAGACUGACGCUCAGGUGCGAAAGCGUGGGGAGCAAACAGGAUUAGAUACCCCUGUAGUCCCUGUCUCUUAUACA
rnacentral:rRNA from 1 species